GACGAACGCUGGCGGCGUGCUUAACACAUGCCAGUCGAACGGAAGGGCCCUGCUUUUGUGGGGUGCUCGAGUGGCGAAAGGGUGAGUAACACGUGAGUAACCUGCCCUUGACUUUGGGAUAACUUCAGGAAACUGGGGCUAAUACCGGAUAGGAGCUCCUGCUGCAUGGUGGGGGUUGGAAAGUUUCGGCGGUUGGGGAUGGACUCGCGGCUUAUCAGCUUGUUGGUGGGGUAGUGGCUUACCAAGGCUUUGACGGGUAGCCGGCCUGAGAGGGUGACCGGCCACAUUGGGACUGAGAUACGGCCCAGACUCCUACGGGAGGCAGCAGUGGGGAAUAUUGCACAAUGGGCGGAAGCCUGAUGCAGCAACGCCGCGUGCGGGAUGACGGCCUUCGGGUUGUAAACCGCUUUCGCCUGUGACGAAGCGUGAGUGACGGUAAUGGGUAAAGAAGCACCGGCUAACUACGUG
rnacentral:rRNA from 1 species